CUACCCCCUCGCGAGCGAGUAGGUCCACCGGCUCCUUUCCCCAUCUAGCAGGAACAAGGAAGAAAAGUCAGAAGACCAGGACCUCCAGGGCCUCAAGGACAAACCCCUCAAGUUUAAAAAGGUGAAGAAAGAUAAGAAAG
rnacentral:sRNA from 1 species